rnacentral:lncRNA from 10 species
GUUAUUUUGUGGCUGUUGAUUUGUUAAAGCACUGCUUUCUGACUGGCUGUUUAACACCUUAACAGCAGAUCCAAGGUUUGCUGCUAUAACAGGAAAAUGCUGACCCCUCUUUAGAAGCUGUUUGUGUUCCUGGUGGCGAAAUCGUGGAGGUACUUCACGAGGAUACCGAGGCAAGGCCUGUGGCUGCUGCUGUGGCUGCUGCUGCUGCGGCUGCGGCUGUGGCUGCUGCUGUGGCUGCUGCUGCUGCGGCUGCUGCUGUUGCUGCUGCUGCUGUGGCUGCUGAUUGUUGGCUGUAGCUCGCUUGGCAUUAUUAUUAGUGCUGGUUGCUGUGGAAG